rnacentral:tmRNA from 1 species
GGGGCUGAUUCUGGAUUCGACGGGAUUUGCGAAACCCAAGGUGCAUGCCGAGGGGCGGUUGGCCUCGUAAAAAGCCGCAAAAAAUAGUCGCAAACGACGAAAACUACGCUUUAGCAGCUUAAUAACCUGCUUAGAGCCCUCUCUCCCUAGCCUCCGCUCUUAGGACGGGGAUCAAGAGAGCUCAAACCCAAAAGAGAUCGCGUGGAAGCCCUGCCUGGGGUUGAAGCGUUAAAACUUAAUCAGGCUAGUUUGUUAGUGGCGUGUCCGUCCGCAGCUGGCAAGCGAAUGUAAAGACUGACUAAGCAUGUAGUACCGAGGAUGUAGGAAUUUCGGACGCGGGUUCAACUCCCGCCAGCUCCACCA